GUGCUCACUAAAGCACAUGUAUUAAAAUUGAAACGAUACAGAAAUUAGCAUGGUUCCUGCACAAGGAUGAUGUGCAAAUCUGGGAAAUGUUCCAUCUUUUU
ensembl:snRNA U6 U6 spliceosomal RNA